rnacentral:rRNA from 1 species
UCCGAAAGGAGGGCUAAUACCGCAUAAGACCACGCUGACUUUGGUCAGAGGGGUUAAAGGUGGCCUCUUCAUGAAAGCUAUCGCCAAGAGAUGAGCCUGCGUCCCAUCAGCUAGUUGGUAGGGUAAUGGCCUACCAAGGCUUUGACGGGUAGCUGGUCUGAGAGGAUGAUCAGCCACACUGGAACUGAGACACGGUCCAGACUCCUACGGGAGGCAGCAGUGGGGAAUCUUGCGCAAUGGGCGAAAGCCUGACGCAGCGACGCCGCGUGGGUGAUGAAGGCCUUCGGGUUGUAAAGCCCUGUGGGGAGGGACGAACACGUUGCGACCUAAUACGUCGUGACCUUGACGGUACCUCCUUAGCAAGCACCGGCUAACUCUGUGCCAGCAGCCGCGGUAAGACAGAGGGUGCAAACGUUGCUCGGAAUUACUGGGCGUAAAGCGCAUGUAGGCGGCUCUGUAAGUCGGAUGUGAAAGCCCUCGGCUUAACCGGGGAAGUGCAUUCGAUACUGCAGAACUAGAGUAUCGGAGAGGGUCGUGGAAUUCCUGGUGUAGAGGUGAAAUUCGUAGAUAUCAGAGGAACACCGGCGGCGAGGCGGCGACCUGGACGAUACUGACGCUCAAUGCGAAAGCGUGGUAGCAACAGAUAAUACCCUGGUAUCCACGCUGUAACAUGGGUAC